UACGUAGGGUGCAAGCGUUGUCCGGAAUUAUUGGGCGUAAAGAGCUCGUAGGCGGUUUGUUGCGUCGGCUGUGAAAUCCCGAGGCUCAACCUCGGGUCUGCAGUCGAUACGAGCAAACUAGAGUGUUGCAGGGGAGACUGGAAUUCCUGGUGUAGCGGUGAAAUGCGCAGAUAUCAGGAGGAACACCGGUGGCGAAGGCGGGUCUCUGGGCAACAACUGACGCUGAGGAGCGAAAGCGUGGGGAGCAAAAGGG
rnacentral:rRNA from 1 species